UGAGCAGGUGGUCCUGGAUUCUAUAAGAAAGCAAGCCAGGAGGAGCAAGCUGAUAAGGAGCACUCCUCCAUGGCUUCUGCCUCAGCUUCUGCCUUCAAGUUCCUGCCUUUUUCCAUUAGCCUCCUGCCUGCCUUUGAUUAUGAACAACGAUGUGGAGGUAGAAGUGAGAUAAACCUUUUCCUUCCCACAUUGAUUCUUUUGGCCCUUGUGUUUAAUAGCAGCAAUAGAAAUCCUAACUAAGACGUCCGUCCAGUUAGGAAAAGCAAUCAGUGUUAAGAACUGAAAAGAAAAUAAGACGUCCUGCCAAAUGAAUGUGUUGUUCCUGAGUGUUGUACCUUGGUGGUCACUCCAUCUUUUUGAGGGCUGGGAGCCUGGUGGAGCUUGCACAGAGGCAAGUGCAAAUUGCUUCUUGUUAGAAUUAGAAGCCUCGGCUUUGUCCAGUACUUGAGAGUCAGAGACAGUAAGAUCUCGGAGUUUGAGACCGUGCAUGCAGUACAGAGUAAGUUCCAGGAAAGCCAUGGCUAUACACAGAAACCUUAUCUCAAAAAUUAACAAACAAACC
rnacentral:lncRNA from 1 species